ensembl:lncRNA
CUGAAAACGCCGUUCAUGUUUUAUAUAUGCAACCUGUAGAGCCCAGUUACAGAUGUGAAGCUACAGCAACAUAAACUCUGCUGCACUGAAUUUGAAUGUGUUCAUUCGGUGAUUAAGGUUUUUUUAAAUUACACUGCAGGAAAUGAAGACGAUUAGAAACUGCACAGAUUAGAAAAUUCUUCAGUAAUGUUCAAUUGGCCAUGAAACUAAAGUGAUUCCCACGUCUCCUGCAGUAUCCUCUCAUGUUUCACACCUCUAGUCUCUAGCCACAUCAAAUUCUAAAUCAAAUAUAGUGACUUCAGUUAAUUGGUCCAUUUCAUUAUUGCAGAAGAAGAGGCAGACGUGCCGCUUUAUGUGAGCCUGAAGCAGAGAACCCGGGUUAGCAGAGAAAGAACCCCUGGAUAUGUUGACCUUGCUUCCUCAGGCUGGAAAUACUGGUCUUCUUUAUGCAACUCAGAUAGUUCUUGCUUUCUUUGCACAGGUCUUUAAGGUUUAAAGGAACAGGAAGAGGGUCAGACAUCUGUGGGUGAAAGCUGCUAGAAGUUUUGUGCAAUCAGUAUUUUUUUCACCCCCCUCCCCCCAGAGCGUUUGCACAGUAACAGCAAACUUUAAUCACUCCCUCCAUCGAUCUCCCCGUGUUUCGAUUUUUGUUUUUUCAGCCCAGACCGGAGCAAACCCGGCUGCAUGCUCACAGUCCAGGUGGAAGUGUGGUUACGCUGAGCAGUCACGUGAUUCGGCGUUAACCUGAGAAAACUCUGAGCUGUGAGAGGUCUGAAAGCAGCCGGUGCUUGAGAGUUGUCACAGAAGCAGCACAAACGCAACAUUCAGCCAAUAUUUCCCUUUUUGUUUGUUCUCUUUUCCCUAAACGGUACCUCAUCUUUGUAAGACGUGUUUAGAUUUUGAGGUGGAGACGAUGAGUGAGACUAGACGAUUUUCGUAUUUUCAAUUCACAGAACCCAGGUAGUCGGUUUUAUUUUUAAAAACCGGUGAUGCUGCUGUGCUCGAGUGUGGUGAUGAUUUUCAUCUCGGCUCUCGCAGCGGAUUCUGCUGGAAACAAAUACCGCUGUGUGUGUGUGUGUGUGUGUGUGGUUUCCGUCCUCCGUUUCCUCUCCCUCUCUGUUCCUCAGCCAUCUCUAACAUGUACUUUGUCAGCUGUCGGCUCUCAGCCUGCUUGUCUGUAAACUGGAAUUAAAGGUUGUGUCAUGAAGCCGCAAACCUGUUCGAACCUGAUCUCAAGUUUCUGGAAAAAACAAGACAGAAGAAACAAAAUAAAAAAUAGAAACAGAGCCUUCCUGAAGUGUGGUUUAAAAAAGAAACGGGCUGAAUCUUCGCCUGUGAAACAAUUCACUUUGUGCUCAUGUCUCCCUUUCAAACAGCUGAAUCAUCCUUGGCCACAUGUAGAGGUGGGAUUAAGAAGAGCCUCGAAACUGCUUUCCUCUUCACUCUUUUCUUUUUUCCCUCCUCCUCCUCCUCCUUAAUCUCUCCUGUGUUGCAUCCCUCUCCCAAAAUCGGCCUAACACACUUCAGUCAUUUCUGCAGAGCCCACGCAACAUCCACAGUUCGCUCUCCUCAUUGUUUUUCCCCAGCUGCCUCUCUUUUUGGAUCAUUAUACAUGGAUCCCACUCUCUGCACGGCCUCGAGGCGAGUGACACAUCCGUGCAGAAUACCGUGGGUACAGUAUCAAACAGCCUGUUUUCCACAGAAGGACAAACUGAGGCUAGUCAUGGGAGGGUCGGCUAUUUUUUUUUUAAACUUUUGCAUUUAUUGACAAAUGCACCGCAGGCCCAAAUCUGUGAGUCUGCACUCUGGAAGAAGUGAAGCUUUUGUUUUUGGCAGCAGAAUUAAAAGUGCCACCAAAAAACUUGAGAGGAGAAAACGUGCGGUGAGAAGUCGAUGACGGAGGAUUCGAGCCGUCUGUGUUCGACGUGUUUUUGUUGUUGACACGUAAUCGGUACUGUCUGUGUGUCCAAGGGUACUGAGCUGAAGUAGUGUGGAGGGGCGCGGGGAGGGCUCAGGUUAGCUGUAUUUUUGUAAAGAUAACAAAGAUGAGACGGCACUUUGUAGAAGGCUGAUUGGCAGGAAGUCCUACUGAGAGAGAGAGAAAAAGAUGAGGCAUAAAGCAUUGUUCAAAUGUUCUUCUUUUUAAUUUAUCUUUUCUAAUUUUGUUUGAAAAUAAGACACCUGUAGGGAUCAAGAAUAAAAAAGAACUAACUACACAGUGCCACUUGCUAAUUUUGUGUAAAUAGUACUAGAACAUGUAAAUAUAAUGUUGUAUAUGAAAAAAAACUUUAAAAUAAAAGGGAAAAUCAUUUGUGAGCAGAAAGAUUUUGUUUCUAUUUUUAUUUUUUUCUCUCCUUUGGAUGAUUCAAAUGUGACACAAAUGGUGUGUGUUUCAACAAUGCUCUUUCCAACUUUUUUUCUUUCAUUUUAUUUGAAAGGUACUCUAUAACAGCGAGUGUUAUAUAUAAUGAACCACAACGUCAUGAGAAAUGUUUUACCGUAUUAUACCCUUGGUUAACUUCUACCUGUGUCAUAAAAAU